UAGUCUCGCACAGAUGCAUAUCAAUAAGCGGAGGAAAAGAAACUAACAAGGAUUCCCCUAGUAACGGCGAGUGAAGCGGGAAGAGCUCAAAUUUGAAAUCUUAAAGGGUUUCCCUUUACGAAUUGUAGUUUAAAGAAGUGUUUUCUGUUGAGGUUUUGGUAAAAGUUCUUUGGAAUAGGACAUCAUAGAGGGUGAGAAUCCCGUAUUUGACCUUUACUUUCAACUUUGUGAUACACUUUCAAAGAGUCGGAUUGAUUUGGGAAUGCAGUCCAAAAUGGGUGGUAAAUUUCAUCUAAAGCUAAAUAUUGGCGAGAGACCGAUAGCGAACAAGUACCGUGAGGGAAAGAUGAAAAGAACUUUGAAAAGAGAGUUAAACAGUACGUGAAAUUGUCAAAAGGGAAGCGUUUGACACCAGUGUUGUUUUUCUGAAAAUCAAUUAAAGAACUGUUUAUGCUAAGCUGUUUAGACUUUAUCAGCUAAUCUGUUUAGUUUUGAGCUUUUCUUUAAUGCACUUUUCAGUUAACAAGUCAACAUCAAUUUCUUUUGCUGUAAAAAAGCUUGAGGAAGGUGGCUUGAGAUUCGUCUUAAGUGUUUAUAGCCUCUUGCCUGAUGCAGUCGGAGAGAUUGAGGUCUGCAGCGUAGAUCCUUCGGGGCUAAAUGCAUUUGUGCUAAGUUAUAGCAUUUUAUAGACAACUUGUUGACUAUGAUUUGUCUUGUAGCUUACUCGCUUAUGUUAUUUUACCUACGCUUAGGAUGUUGAGUCGUAGAGCACGCAG
rnacentral:rRNA from 1 species